GGGUCAGUUUGUAGGUGAGGGGUAUGUAGAAAUCGUGCGAAAAUGGGUGAAACUCGUGGGGGGCAAUCUCGCUCGGGCGAACUAGCUGUUUUGCUCGUUGCAGCGCAUGCGCUGUGCUGUCUUUGAAUGUGUGCGUGCGUCAAAAGCGAGCAAAACGCCGCUGUGUCAAAAAAUGUGUAAACAAACUCAGUUGGAGUUCAGAAAAGUAAACAUGCGCAAUCCGCUUGGUUAUGUGCAAAAAUUCGUGAAAUAAUCUAAAUAUUCUUUAUUUUGAACAGAUCUUACUUAUAACCGAUAUGUGCAGUGCCGUGGAAUAACAAAAAUUGCUUCAAAAAAGCUUUGUGUGUGGCUGAUACUCUAGCAUCUUUCCAUGUGUGUAAACAACGCCGAGAGUAUUACUGUUUUGUGAUCAUCAUAUUUCAUUCGGAUUGCACAUUACCGGGCAGAAAAAGCUUCAAGCAACCAAUUUUGUACAGCAUCCGCACGCUGUAUGAAGGUGUAAAACAAAUUUUCAUCUGUAAGAUGCUCUUCAAACCUGUCCAGUGACUCUUCGUUGCUUAUAUAUUGCAUCGGGAUGGUUUGAGCAUUGCGUCGCACGCCUUUCAUCGGGUGUAUUGUGGCCACUACCGCAGCCGUUUGGGCAGUUCGGGCAUCCAGUUUUAAUAAUGAACAUUGUGAACAAAAAUCGUGCCCAGGACAAGUUCUUUUUGCUUGAAUUAACUUUGUGUUCUUAUUUACAUUAAUAGAUACGGUGGACGGAUGAAUGCUGCUUGCUGACGACUGCUCUUCGUGAAAUGUUGAUCCCGGUGAUGAAACACACGGUUCCGGUGUCAUGCUUGGUGACGGCUGACGGGAUCCUUGAUGCACGACAGUCGUUUUUGUUGGUCGCGCAACGUCAUGCGCGCAUGAACCAGCAGCUGAAGCAACAGACGAUUUCGGCGUCGCACUUGUAGUCGGCUGCGAUCCUUGCAUUUGUUCGUCAAACGAUCCUAACGAUCACGAUCCAACGAUCGGAACUAGCAGGCACAAGAAUCAUCCCACGUAUCGCUUUCGUUGAGGGCUGCGUUCCUCGCUUUUGUUCCAUCGAUCCUGCCGGACGCGUAGCGAUAUCCACGGAACCAGCAGUGAGAGCAGUAGAAGAUUCCGACGUCGCAGAUGAUCCUGCCGGUCGCGUAGCGAUAUCCAUGGAACCAGCACCGGGGGCAAGAGACGGUUCCGGCGUCGGUCUUGAUGACGUUCGCGGUCCAAAAACACGGACGAUCGCGCCUGUGGAGCAUAAUACAGCCCAAGGCAGUUGUUGCAGUGCAAAAAGGCGCCCUUUCUUUGGUGGUUCCGACAUUACAUUUUGGCUGAAAUAAUCAAUCGUUUUAUUAUUAUUUAUGUGAAACUGCUGAGUUGUAUUUGAAUGCUGCUUUGCGGUUUGAAAUCUCGAUGUUUAUGUUUUCAGCUGUGAAUUUCAAUAAAGGGUAACAAUCACA